GACAUGGAUACAGGUGGUGCAUGGUUGUCGUCAGCUCGUGUCGUGAGAUGUUGGGUUAAGUCCCGCAACGAGCGCAACCCUUAUUAUCAGUUGCCAGCAUUAAGUUGGGCACUCUGGUGAGACUGCCGGUGACAAACCGGAGGAAGGUGGGGAUGACGUCAAAUCAUCAUGCCCCUUAUGACCUGGGCUACACACGUGCUACAAUGGAUGGUACAACGAGUUGCGAACUCGCGAGAGUAAGCUAAUCUCUUAAAGCCAUUCUCAGUUCGGAUUGUAGGCUGCAACUCGCCUACAUGAAGUCGGAAUCGCUAGUAAUCGCGGAUCAGCAUGCCGCGGUGAAUACGUUCCCGGGCCUUGUACACACCGCCCGUCACACCAUGAGAGUUUGUAACACCCAAAGUCGGUGGGGUAACCUUUUAGGAACCAGCCGCCUAAGGUG
rnacentral:rRNA from 2 species